AACGAACGCUGGCGGCAUGCCUAACACAUGCAAGUCGAACGAGACCUUCGGGUCUAGUGGCGCACGGGUGCGUAACGCGUGGGAAUCUGCCCUUGGGUUCGGAAUAACUCAGAGAAAUUUGAGCUAAUACCGGAUGAUGUCGUAAGACCAAAGAUUUAUCGCCCAAGGAUGAGCCCGCGUAGGAUUAGCUAGUUGGUGAGGUAAAGGCUCACCAAGGCGACGAUCCUUAGCUGGUCUGAGAGGAUGAUCAGCCACACUGGGACUGAGACACGGCCCAGACUCCUACGGGAGGCAGCAGUGGGGAAUAUUGGACAAUGGGCGAAAGCCCGAUUCAGCUAUGCCGCGUGAGUGAUGAAGGCCUUAGGGUUGUAAAGCUCUUUUACCCGGGAUGAUAAUGACAGUACCGGGAGAAUAAGCCCCGGCUAACUCCGUGCCAGCAGCCGCGGUAAUACGGAGGGGGCUAGCGUUGUUCGGAAUUACUGGGCGUAAAGCGCACGUAGGCGGCUUUGUAAGUUAGAGGUGAAAGCCUGGAGCUCAACUCCAGAAUAGCCUUUAAGACUGCAUCGCUUGAAUCCGGGAGAGGUGAGUGGAAUUCCGAGUGUAGAGGUGAAAUUCGUAGAUAUUCGGAAGAACACCAGUGGCGAAGGCGGCUCACUGGACCGGUAUUGACGCUGAGGUGCGAAAGCGUGGGGAGCAAACAGG
rnacentral:rRNA from 1 species